ACCGCAUACGACCUUCGGGUGAAAGCAGGGGACCUUCGGGCCUUGCGCGGAUAGAUGAGCCGAUGUCGGAUUAGCUAGUUGGCGGGGUAAAGGCCCACCAAGGCGACGAUCCGUAGCUGGUCUGAGAGGAUGAUCAGCCACACUGGAACUGAGACACGGUCCAGACUCCUACGGGAGGCAGCAGUGGGGAAUAUUGGACAAUGGGCGCAAGCCUGAUCCAGCCAUACCGCGUGGGUGAAGAAGGCCUUCGGGUUGUAAAGCCCUUUUGUUGGGAAAGAAAAGCAGUCGAUUAAUACUCGGUUGUUCUGACGGUACCCAAAGAAUAA
rnacentral:rRNA from 1 species